CUCUUGCUGUCUGAACCGUCACAGACAGUCACAAAAGCAAUCAUCUUUGACAUGCCUUUUACACAGGCUAGUCACCAACAGGCGGAUGAUAUUUUAAGCCAGUGCUUUGAUGAGUCAAAUUCAGUCAGCAGACAAAAGCAGGCAGCUAGCUGGCACAGCUGUCUUAUCAAUCACCUACAGUCAAAGCAUAACUGUAUCAAGUAAAAUAAACAGUCACAGCCAGUCAAUCCUUCUUUAUGUUGGCAGGGAGCUUUUAACUCUUGACUGUUAAAAACAGUCACUUGACUGAUUUUGACUGAAAGGACAAUUCAGGUGAUUCACAAUGCAGUGCGCCACCAAGAGUCGAGUUGCCAUAGAGAGUCCAUUUUUCAAGUUUACAGUUGACAAAAAAAUGGCCCAUCUGAAUGAGUGUCAGUAGACAAAAAAGUUAGAUUGUGACAUCGCGUUCUGCCGCCUUACAAAAAACGCCAUAUUGAAAAAAAAAAAAAGAAAAUGGCAAACAGAUACUGGAAUCAUAUGCUUAUGAACCUUCUGACCGGAAAAACUAACAAUUUCAAAUGUCCUGCGCUGCGAAUUUGUUGACUAUCUCCCACUGCACUGGGAAAAAAAUGAAGUGUCUGUGGCAAACUCUUGGUGGUGCACUGCAUUGUGGAUCACCCAAAUAUUGCACAGAAUUUGCAUGUUUGCAAAAGGUGGGUUAAUGUGAAUCCAUAAACACUUCUGAUAUUUUUAUGCAUUCUGGAUAUGGAUGACGAAAAUGACAAGCAAUUUGUGCACAAACAUUUAUGGGGUAAUAAACCGGUUAAAAAGUUCAUUUGAUUUCUGCUUGUAUCCAAAUUGUAGUGUUCAUAUUUUUACACAUUGUUGCAUUGGUGAGUUGUAAUGGUAUCUCAGCUCUUGUGACACAUGUAUAACUGUAAUGGUCUUUUUAACAAAAUAAUUUUAAAGUGUGUAUAUAGUGAUUACAUAUCUAUUUGAAAAAUACAAGAAUAUUAGACAUUAUUAUUUAUAUCAGGCUUCCCGCAAUAAAAGUAUAAAUCAGCACAUUGUAUACUUUCAUAAAAAGUACCCGGUGACUGCGAUAAUAAAGUACCUGGUUGACUGCAAUAACAUUAUUAUUGCAGUCAUCCGGGCAUUUUCGCUGGUUCCUGCAUGAUCAAGAGCAUAGAAAGUCACAACCACUCAACAGAGCGUAGCGUGCGCGCGUACCAUCGAACACGGAAAACGCUGCGCACAUGCAGCGCGCAUGCAGUGCGCAGAAGGCCAGGUAUACGCGCACUGAUGUCAACAUUUUAUUACAGUGGCAUCUUCAAAUAGUUUGACGAAAAAGAUAAAAUGAGGACAGUGUCUUAAAUUGUGUUUCUUGCGGAUCAAGUCAGCCUGAUAUAAAUAAUAAUAAUAUUGGAUGGCUUUUUUUCGGUGGAUACAAGAAUAUUGCACUCGCUAUGACAAUAUUGAACUCGUCUUCGACUCGUGCAAUAUUGUCAUAGCUCAUGCAAUAUAUUUUUUUAUCCACCUCAAAGCAUCCAAUAUUAUAUAAUUAGUUAAAUUCUAGGAACACAUUCAUGUUUUUAAGGGCAUUUUCAUGAGGUCAGUCAUUUUAAUUUGGUUGCAGAGGUGAACAUCUUGCCAUGAAUGAAUGUGUAUGAUAAUUUAUGCAAAAUGUAUUGAAGUUAAUUUCUUUAAAUUGCUUUUCAAUCCUGCACUCGCGUUCUUUUUAGAAUCAUUUUUUUUAAUGCUCCAGUUUCAGAUGAAAAAUCAUCCCCAAAAAAUCAUUCAUACAAAUCUGGAAACAAGACUGUGUCUUGACCUUCGGAUGCCGCAUUCAUACUCGCACUCGGAAAUUUACUUCAAAUAUAUUUAAUGUGAAUUCAUGAAUACCUAAGACAGUUUACCCAUUCCCACUGGUCGAAAGCCCGUCACAUGGCCGGUUUUAAACGAAUGAUAAAGACAUGGCUGGCUGGUCUUAAACCCUUUUCCAGUGUCACAUGAAAUUUGGACUCAUAUGAAAUCCAGUGCCUUUUACCAUUUUAUUGGUUGAAUGUUCACAAUCCUCAUGUAGGCAUGUGCAAUACUACCAGUGAAUUAAUAUUUCAUAGUCCGAAAUUCACACUACAAAAGCCCAUCUGCGUUUUGCACGACAUUGCACAGUACACGCGAGGCGCGCCCCAAUCUCCUUAUAAGGUAAGGAAUUGUAGAGCGACAUUCCAUAUUAUAGUCAGAAGGGUGUUUCAUAAAACAUGAAGUAAAAUUGUUGAACCUAAUGGUUAUCAACGUCUAGGUUUUGACUUGUUUUAAAUGUUCAGACAGCAAAGAUUUGUUUUUGGACCGAAAAGGUAUUUAUGAAUGGGAAUAAAUUUGUGAUUGGUCGGUAUAAAACACUAUGUUUAAGACUGGUUAGAGUCUGGAAUGCUGAUAAUUACCCUCAGCUUCGCCUCGGCCAAUUAUCAGCAUCCAGACUCCAACCAGUCCAAAACAUAGUGUUUAACACCUCCCAAACCCACAUUUGUUCCCUUAUUAAUUAUAUUAUAAUGCAUCAAAUAUAUUUAAUAUAUAUUGCUGUUGGUUUAUUCUGCCUUGUGUUUAGAUUUUGUCAUGUACUGUUAAACCUUUGGGUAGAUUGUUAACAAUUGAUUGUGUUCGUUAAUAAAGAAUAUUGUGUUAAUUAAUGGAUUAAAUUCUUUUUAAAGUUGAUGCUUUAUUGAAUAACAUUAUUUUACAGGUAAAUUGCAUUAAUUAGGGAAUGACAAAGCAAUGACCCGGUCUUCACUGCUAAUGACCAGGUUUGGGGAUGGCCGCUGUUAACGACGCCCAUGCAUGCGCGCCUGUUACAAGCUACUUAGGGCUGCUGUAGUCAGUCAUUGGUCAGUCAUUGGCUUACAUGUUGCUGGAUCAGUGCUGGUUCAGGGGCCAUUCAUUUGCUUGUUCUUUGAAGCCGGUCUUUAUAUCACAUGUUAAUACACCCCCACGUGAUCGAGUCUCAACCAAUCAGAAGCUAUCAACUCUCCAAAGUUUUUAUUAAUUCAUUUCGAGCAGUUAUAUCACUUGAAUAAAUCUUGUUCUUUGAAACUUA